GCACACAUAUAGCUUAUUGCGCCAACCUUAUAAAUGGCUCACAGAACCAGAAUGAAUAUUAACAGAGGCGUGAAACAUUCUCUGCACUCGUUGAGGAUAUGGCUAAUUGGAAGAGCAUAAUAAUAAACUCAAUUUCAUUGCCUUUCAAGUUACUAUGUGCAAAGGUAUGGAGGUCCCUAAAGUUUCUAGUGUUGAGUUCGGAGCUUCAAGGAGUCGACCCGCUCUUUGUUUUGUCCUCCUACAUGCUGAUCCCAAGAGAUCCAGAUAAUAAUCCAUUUACUAGGGAUUAUGCAAGCUAAUAUAGGUAAGUUGUUUCUGGUAUUCCUCUUCUUUUUCUUUUUCUUUUUUUUUUUGUAAGAGGGGAAACCGCAGUCGCUACAAUUUCUGUCAUAACCUCUGUCAUUCGGGUGAUCAUUUUGUGCGUACUGGGUAAACCUCCCCAUGUGUAAUAGCCUCCAAACCACACAAGGGAUGUAAACCGCACUAGGCAAGCCAUGUGCGACAGACUCAAUCCAGAAGACAUUGAGGGGGGAAUCGAUCUCAGGUCAUCCGUAUGGAUGACCGCCCUCCAAAUCAACUGGGCAACCCCGAAGGGGUACAUUUCUUGAAAACCAGCAAGAAUAGUUUCGAGAAAUAAAACACACACACGUUGGGUAUAACAUGAAAAAAGAAAUUGUCUUCUCUUGAUAUACUAAAAGUCAGUAAAAAUCUAUUUUUAGAAUACUGGACAAGUAUAUAUUCCCGAUGGUUUCUACUCGAAUUAAUAUUAUAUAGACGUAUAGUUGAAAUAGUCUUAAAAGCGUCCACUGGAUUUACAAUCCAUCUGCCUCUUGCAAAGGCCCCUACAAAAGGAAACGGUCUUUAUAAUGUUCCAUCCUUUUCCGAAACAGAAGACCGCCCUCUAUAUGGUAGCAAAUACUAACAAAAAGUUUACCUUCUAAGUCUAGCAAAAACUGUAUACUUGUUAUAUAGAGGUAUCUAUUCCAACAAAUCUGACAAAUGUGACUUAGUCAAGAUAGAUACAGGGCAGAUGUAUACAAGGUAAGAUUGGAACCAGUAGCUUUUAGUUGGACCGUGUAUAUUUGUUAAGAAAUUUACUAAAUAUAGCAACUACAAUAUAACAUUAAAGUUCUAUGGCAUUCCGAACCUAUAAAAUUCAAAUCCUAGAUCCAACUCUAGAUAGAUCUAUCCCUUAUUUGGUAAAGCUAAGUACUCUCAUCUGAUCUCAACUCUAAGUUAAAUUUUGAGGUUAGUUUGGUAAAUUGAUGUAUGAGCUAAGACUCCCAUGAUCAUCUUCUUACUGAAAAGUAUUCAAGCGAAGAAAAAUUUUAUUUUGUGCCUCACACUAAUGACACUAGUUGUGUGAGACCUCUUUUUUGUCUCACGACUUUUGAUUUUACACAACUAAUGUCAGUUGACACGCACGCCAUAAAAUCACUUUCAAGAGAAGGCAUAUAUAUGAGGGUACGAAAGCUGAGUAAAAGAUAAAAGGCAAAUAAUGAUGUUUUGAGCAUCUCUUUGUACCAGUGAUCUAUUUUCUGUCUGUUGAUACUUGACGGAAUGGACGUGGGUUUAUAGCUGAUUAAACUACUUUAGUAUCUUCUUUCCAUUUCUUUGGAGAUCAAUGACAUUCUUCUAAUUAACAUCAUUUAAUUUGUUAAAGUUGCGGGACAUCCUCAUCUCCUCAAGGACGACCCCGAAGUACUUUCUAAUUUGUUGAGUGAGUUGCACUUGGUUGGAGAUUACACGAGGAUAUUAAAAUACUGUAUCUACACGUUACUCUAUUCACUUUUAGUUGUUCAUUAUUGACUUUACACACCCCUUAAGAAAUAAUAAAUAAAUUAUAUAAUUUACCAUGAUAUUCAUAUUAAUUGGUGUAUAGUCUUAGUGGAUUUGAAAAAUGAUUUGGAAUGAGUAAUUAAUGCUAAGGACUAAACAGAAAAAAUAAAUUAUUUUUCUCUUGAUAUGCGAAAAGUGACAAGUAAAAAUGAAAAAUUAUAUUUAGAAUAUUUGACAACUAAAAGUAAACGGAGGGAGUACAUUAUAGCUUUGGUUUUGGAUGUUCUAUUUUUAGCAGCUAAUAUAGCGGAAAUAUUUAAGAACCUUAAUGGAUGGCCUGCUCUUUUUCAUCCUCUUGUGCUGUUUGCCUGUUACUUCUGAUUGUAACCUCGAGAACAAAUUAGACCCCGCCAAUUAACUUUAUCUUCUUAUUUCACCUAAUAAUAUUGAUAUACUCCAUUUACUCUCCAUAAAAAUGUUUGACAUAAAAAAGAAUCUUUAAUACAAGGACAAACUGCUCCUUUUUCGUAUUAUAUACUAAUUUUAAUAUUUCAUUGACCGGUAAUUGUUGAUUUGAAGGAAUAUUUUAUUUAUAUUCAACUUUUAGGGAGGUCACCUAUUCUUACCUAAUCCUCUAAAUUAAGGAGUUUCUGAAAAAAAACGUAAGAUAAUGGACUAACUUAUUAGGACUCUAAGAAUUUAUUUAAUAUUUGUAAUUAUCCCAUGUAUGUGACGAACUCUUAAUACUCAUCUUUGUAGGUGAUAUACUUAUCAUUAUGUAUGUAUCCAUAUCAUAUAAAUAUAAGUAAUACUGCCUCUCUAUUGGUUGAGCCAUUUGAAUGGUAUCAGAUUAGCUAGCAAAUCCUCUCUAAUUCCUUCUUCUAAGCGGUCACGGAACUCAUCAUACACCAUAAUCAACAUUGUUGGAAUUUUCUUCUAAACCUUUCCCACACAUCCAGUGCUUUCCCACACCAUUUUUCUUUACUAUGGCAUCAUCUUCACCCUAUACUUCUAUUCCUCUAUCCAAACCUGAUGACAUUAUUCCAUCCUCAAGCCUUACUGUUGCUUUCUCACCUCCCCCUUUAUCGUCUCCUCCUCUUAUGUCGUCACUUUAUUCCAUGGCCUCAUCAGUACCAAGCAAUUCCUCAUCUCCUAGCUUGUUGCCAUGUCCUACUGCUGCUACUGCGCCACCUAUAUUUCCAUGUGCUGGUUCGUUGGACUCAACUACUGCCUCAAAUUUUCACUCUGUUGCUGCACUAGCAGCGCCUAAUGUCACCAAUCUGGUAACAAUUAAGUUACAGUCUGUUGAAGAUUAUCUCACAUGGCGUACUCAGUUCACUUCCCUUCUCAUAUCUCAUGAUUUGCUUGGUUUUGUUGAUGGUUCUAUCCCUGCUUCACCCCCGCUUCUUUGCGACACUACUGGUUCGCAAAUCGCAACAACCGAAUCCAAGCUACCACUCGUGGGUUCGAAUUGAUCAAAGCAUCCGUUCUUGGAUCUUUGCGACCUUGUCGCGUGAAGUUCUUGUCGACGUCCAUCUUUUACCAUCUUCACGUGAUAUUUGGCUUUCCUUACACCGUAGAUAUAUGGAUGCUAGCCGAGCUAAAGCAAUUGAACUUAAGAGACAACUCACUACUUUGAAAAAGACAAUAUCUAUGUCAAUUGAUCAAUAUUUGAGAGAGGUAAAAUAAUUGGCUGAUUCACUUGCAGCCAUAAAUUCUCCAGUUUCCCCCCCAGGAUUUCAUUGAUCAUGUCCUUCUUGGAUUAGGAAAAGAAUACGAUACGCUGGUUGGUAUCCCCACUCACUUCCUUGGACAUGUAUCACUUGAAGAUUUGCGCUCUAAGCUCCUUUUGCAUGAACAACGGUUGCAACGCUUUCAAGAAUCCGAUUCCAUCAUCUCUCAUCAUGCAUUUGCUACCUAGAAUGAUCAAUCAAAUUUUUCGAAUAUGUCCAGCAAUGCAGCACCUUCUUCAAGUAAUUGUGGACGAGGAAGAGCCUCGUCUUUUCGAGGUCGAGGUCGUGGUGGAAGGGGUUGUGGUUACUCUGGUCGAGGUCCCUCACAACUGUCUACUCCCAAUAAUAUUGCUCGCAAUGGUCCUACUGCUCAGCCUCCGUCAGGUAUUGGUGGUGCUUCUCUCACUCCUUAUAAUUCACAAUCUGGUAGUACAUUCUCACCAUCCAGUGGGAUCUUAGGUCCCUCACCCUCACCAAUUAUUUGUCAAAUUUGUGGGCAUCCUGGUCAUACUGCCUUACAAUGUCAAAAUAUUUUCAAUCAUGCUUUCGUUACUAAUGAUCUUCCUAAGUCUUUUACUGCUAUGUCUGUUGGUGAAAAAAUGAUGCUACUUGGUAUUUUGACACUGUCGCGUCCGCUCACAUGACUCCAUCUGAAGGUAAUUUUAUACGAAAGAACCCUCACACUGACUCUGAUCGUGUUUUGGUAGGAAAUGGUACAUUGCUUAACAUUGAAAAUAUUGGCUAUGCUCAGUUGCCUUCUACAUCUCGUCCUCUACACUUACAGUCUAUAUUUCAUGUUCCUCAACUUCGUUAUAAUUUGAUUUAUGUUAAAAAGUUAUGUAGAGAUAAUAACUGUAAAGUUGACUUUGAUGAUUCUUCUAUUUGUGUGAAGGACAAGGUAACGGGGCAACCUCUCCUUCAAGCUUCCAGUAAAGACGAUGUUUAUCCGUUGUCGUCCUCGUCUGUGACUUCUCCUCCUCAAGCAUUUGUUGCUCUACGUCAAUCCGGAGACAUCUGGCAUCGUCGUUUAGGUCAUAGUGGUAGUCGUGUUUUGUCAAGUCUUAGGAACCAUAAUCUUACUAUGUUACUAAAUUCUUUUAGUAAUAAUUGUGUUUCGUGCAAGUUAGGGAAGUCUCAACGUUUGUCCUUUAAUCUAGUUGCUUAUUAUAGUUCUUUUCCUUUAGAUAUUAUUCAUUCCGAUGUUUGGCAAUCGCCUGUGUGAAUACCUAAUUUUUGUAUUGUUUUAACACCUCCUAAAGUUUGUUGCUUUAAUUAUUUUUUCCAAUUUUUGUGUCUCUGAUUGCAUAUUUCCUAUCAUAAAAAUACUAAAAAAUAAUUCUUUCUUUAUUUGUGCAUUUUAGGAAUUAACUAAUUAUUCAGUUGGUGAAUUAAUCUAGUUAAUUGACCAUUUGAAUAAAUUAAUUAAUUUAUUUAUUUGUAUAAAUUUAGUUUAAUAAGUAGGAUUAAGAAAUAAAUUGGGCCAAAUUUGAAAGAGAAAGUGGCUAGAAGUGCAAGAUAAGGGGCUGCCCUUGAAAGGGUCUGAAAUGACGUAGUUUUGCCUCAAAACUACGUCGUUUCAUUAAGUGACCCAAGAUGAAAUCUCACCCAUUUAUCACCCCUUGAUCUAAUGGUCCAUAUUUGAUCUCUCAAGAGGUAUUUAAAGCCUCAAAAAUCUGAAAAAUUCCCUCAUUUCCCCAUAACUCUUUCUCUCUUCUCUCUCUUCUCUCCGCUGCCGCCGCCGGAAAUCACCCACCGGCGGCGGACCACCUCCAAACACCUCCAAAUUAACACCAUGUAAUCUCCACAACCUCCUCUUCCCAUAUCUCCAAACCAAUUCCUUCAAAAAACCCUCAAACUCCUUGAAUUUUAGAUCUAAACUUUAGCCGCCACUUUUUGGUCCAAAUUCUUGAAGCUCCGGCCAACACCACCCUACAACACAUACAUGAAUGAAUAGAACUCCACNNNNNNNNNNNNNNNNNNNNNNNNNUGAUAAUUUUUUUCUCCUUGCUUCUGACACAGCAGAUUUUCAGGUUGUCCUUUCAUUUUUGGGACAGAUCUUGAACAGUGUUUAGCACACAAACUCAGUCUUUUGGACAGAUUUUUUAGUAAACCAAAAUCUGUCCCAAAAAGGGAAUUUAUUUGCCUAUUUAAGGGGCUGCUAUUUCCUCACUUGAGACGGGGAUCACACAUUUGUUCAGCAGUCUUUACACCCUAAAAAUAAAACUUGGAGAGUAAAAAAUCAGCAACUAAAGCACCCUUUAGUAAGCUGAAAUGGUGUGCUUUGUGAGUAAAUUUUAGAGUGCAAACUUUUAGAAAAGUAUAAGUCUUCUUUAGAGUUGGUUUUGGUUUCUUCUAAGGUUUUCGGGUUGUUUAAAAACGAAACUGUUGUUGUUUUCUGCUUGUGUUUGCUGCUAUUUGUUUUUCUGCUGAGCUCUAUUUCUUCACUGCUGUAUUUAUUUUCUGCAAUCCAGGUAUUUUCUUAAAUUUUGCAAUGCAGAUUUUUAUAUUCAAUGGAUGAGGAUAUGGCUCUUUUUCAGCUCUAUGGGUACGCUUGAUGUGCUUUACUGGAAUAAAUGAAUGUUUAGCAUGUUAUUCAUAUAGUCAUAUUUCAGCAUGUACGUAAUAUUUGGUUGAUCUUUCAUUUUUCUUUACAUGUGUAGCUCAAAUAACAUUAUGUUAAGUGUAUCUAGUUAAGGAAAAGAAACAUCUUUUAAAAUUAUUAUGUAGAGUUUAGUUUCCUUUUGCC
rnacentral:lncRNA from 1 species